rnacentral:rRNA from 1 species
AACGAACGCUGGCGGCGCGCUUAACACAUGCAAGUCGAACGCAUGCUUGAUCUUCGGGUUGGGCAUGAGUGGCGGACGGGUGAGUAACGCGUGGGAACCUGCCCUGAGGUUCGGGACAACCGUGGGAAACUGCGGCUAAUACCGGAUAUCUCCUCUGGGAGAAAGACUUGUCGCCUUGGGAGGGGCCCGCGUCGGAUUAGCUUGUUGGUGGGGUAACGGCCUACCAAGGCAUCGAUCCGUAGCUGGUCUGAGAGGAUGAUCAGCCACACUGGGACUGAGACACGGCCCAGACUCCUACGGGAGGCAGCAGUGGGGAAUUUUGGACAAUGGGGGCAACCCUGAUCCAGCCAUGCCGCGUGAGUGAAGAAGGCCUGGUUGUAAGCGUCUUCUAGCCGGGAGAAACGACGACUCUCUAAUAUA